CAGCCGCCGCGGGAAUACGUAGGGUGCAAGCGUUAAUCGGAUUACUGGGCGUAAAGCGUGCGCAGGCGGUCCGCUAAAACAGAUGUGAAAUCCCCGGGCUUAACCUGGGAACUGCAUUUGUGACUGGCGGGCUAGAGUAUGGCAGAGGGGGGUAGAAUUCCACGUGUAGCAGUGAAAUGCGUAGAGAUGUGGAGGAAUACCGAUGGCGAAGGCAGCCCCCUGGGCUAAUACUGACGCUCAUGCACGAAAGCGUGGGGAGCAAACAGGAUUAGAUACCCCGGUAGUCCCUGUCUCUUAUACA
rnacentral:rRNA from 1 species